rnacentral:rRNA from 1 species
AGCGAACGCUGGCGGCAGGCUUAAACCAUGCAAGUCGACCGGGCACUUCGGUGCUAGUGGCACACGGGUGAGUAACACGCCGGAACGUACCUUUCGGUUCGGAAUAAUUCAGGGAAACAAGGACUAAUACCGGAUAAUGCCUUCGGGGGAAAGAUUUAUCGCCGCUAGAUCGGCCCGCGUCUGAUUAGCUAGUUGGUGAGGUAAUGGCUCACCAAGGCGACGAUCAGUAGCUGGUCUGAGAGGAUGAUCAGCCACAUUGGGACUGAGACACGGCCCAAACUCCUACGGGAGGCAGCAGUGGGGAAUAUUGGACAAUGGGCGAAAGCCUGAUCCAGCCAUGCCGCGUGAGUGAUGAAGGCCUUAGGGUUGUAAAGCUCUUUUGUCCGGGAAGAUAAUGACUGUACCGGAAGAAUAAGCCCCGGCUAACUUCGUGCCAGCCGCCGCCGUAAAAC